rnacentral:rRNA from 1 species
AUUGAACGCUGGCGGCAGGCCUAACACAUGCAAGUCGAGCGGAUGACGGGAGCUUGCUCCUUGAUUCAGCGGCGGACGGGUGAGUAAUGCCUAGGAAUCUGCCUGGUAGCGGGGGACAACGUUUCGAAAGGAACGCUAAUACCGCAUACGUCCUACGGGAGAACGCAGGGGACCUUCGGGCCUCGCGCUAUCAGAUGAGCCUAGGUCGGAUUAGCUAGUUGGUGGGGUAAUGGCUAACCAAGGCGACGAUCCGUAACUGGUCUGAGAGGAUGAUCAGUCACACUGGAACUGAGACACGGUCCAGACUCCUACGGGAGGCAGCAGUGGGGAAUAUUGGACAAUGGGCGAAAGCCUGAUCCAGCCAUGCCGCGUGUGUGAAGAAGGUCUUCGGAUUGUAAAGCACUUUAAGUUGGGAGGAAGGGCAGUAAGCUAAUAUCUUGCUGUUUUGACGUUACCGACAGAAUAAGCACCGGCUAACUCUGUGCCAGCCGCCGCCGUAA